UGGGGAAUCUUGGACAAUGGGGGCAACCCUGAUCCAGCCAUGCCGCGUGAGUGAUGAAGGCCUUAGGGUCGUAAAGCUCUUUCGCCUGUGAAGAUAAUGACGGUAGCAGGUAAAGAAACCCCGGCUAACUCCGUGCCAGCAGCCGCGGUAAUACGGAGGGGGUUAGCGUUGUUCGGAAUUACUGGGCGUAAAGCGCACGUAGGCGGACCAGAAAGUUGGGGGUGAAAUCCCGGGGGCUCAACCCCGGAACUGCCUUUCAUACUGGCGAUCUGGAGUUCGAGAGAGGUGAGUGGAAUUCCGAGUGUAGAGGUGAAAUUCGUAGAUAUUCGGAGGAACACCAGUGGCGAAGGCGGCUCACUGGCUCGAUACUGACGCUGAGGUGCGAAAGCGUGGGGAAGCAAACAGGAUUAGAUACCCUGGUAGUCCACACCGUAAACGAUGAAUGCCAGUCGUCGGGUAGCAUGCUAUUCGGUGACACACCUAACGGAUUAAGCAUUCCGCCUGGGGAGUACGGUCGC
rnacentral:rRNA from 1 species